ensembl:lncRNA
AGAGCAUUGCUGCUGCCCGACAGCAGGGCCUCGCGGGGAACGUGUGUGUCUGGUGGUGGGGCUGGGGAACAGAGCUCCUUAGAAUGCUUCUGAGUAUCGCACAGAAAGGCCUGCGUUACGGUUGGAAAUGCGAUAUUCUUCCGGUUUGCUUCCACUCUUGUUUUGUGUCACUGAGGUACCUGGGUCUGUUCAGCCUGGGGAAAAGAAGCCUGAGGAGGGAACUGAUGAAUGUAUAUAAAUAUCUAAAGGGAGAUGGGAGGCAAAUGGAUGAGGGCAGGCUCUUCUCAGGGGUGCGUAGCGAGAGGACAAGGAGCAGCGGUCUCAAACUUGAACGUAGGUGUAGCAGAAAUGCUAUGUCACAGCUUGGAACAGUGAUUGAGCACCGGGUGGGAAGGCAGGGCCAACCCAGGAGAGCUCAGGUGCAUGCAACGUACCUGAGUGACUGGAAGGGCUGGAGCCAAGAUGCAACCCUUCCCAGACCUCAUGUAAGGGUUGGCAGUGGAGGCAAGGAUACCUCAUCUGGAGAUCCCUGCACACCUGAGACCUUCUGAAGCAUGGCCUGCUGUGAAAGACAGAGAGCCUGCGUGAGCAGGCCUGGCAUCAUCUGCAAGGAUAGCGCCCAUGUCGAAACCAGGUAGAACUCUCUGGAGUUUUCCUGAAUCUACUCCUAGAUCACCUGGGGUAUUCUUCUCCUGCUUAGGAGCCUCUCUGAUUCACUAUCUGGCUAUUACACAGAGCUCAAGGAUUGAAGCCUUCAGUACGAUCCCAGGAUAAUAUAAGAUCCACACAGAAUCAUUUAUCUGAAGUGACGUGUCUGAUGCACUGGUGGAAGUUUUCCUAAGAGAUUUCUAAAUGUCCUGGUGGCUGACGGUAAAGACACCAAGGACUCAGAGUCAUGGGUUUCUCUUUAUUACAAGCCCUAAAACACCCAGCAGAAAGACAAAGCUGAGUGAAUUAAUGUUUUCUGACAACUAAGAUACUGUAUUGUCCCACCAAAGUCCUUUCAAAGACCCCUUUAAGAACAGAGUAGUUUGGGGGCUGAAAGGAUCCUAGUUCUGAAACUGGUCUUUAUCUUCUGUUGCUAUCGAAAUGUUUUGUGCUUUAAAUAUGCACUUGCUAUUUCUUAGUUUUAGACUCUCCUAAUACCAAAUUAGCCUUCUGAGCAGAGGUCAGCAGUGCAGGAGUGCAGGUCUUACUGGUUCAGAGGAACACAAAAUCACACAGGCUAAUGCUGAAGUCUUUGUCAACAGCUUCCUGAAUAUCUAGAGACUGAUCAGACAUGAGCUGUCUAUACAGCCAGAUAAUGCUGUUAUUAGAGACACAUUAGUGUGAGGGUUUUUUUUUUUUUUUUUUUUAAUAUACAUGGCUAAUAGAUACAUUAAUCUCAUAGCUUUCACUGCAAAAGUCUUGGACCAGUGCUUCUGAUUAAUUAUUAAUACUCGUCUUCCUCUUCUAUUUUUCAGUGUAUUUACUUCUUAGCCUCGACUCUCUGUGGUUUUUGGGGGGGGUUUGUUUUUUUGGCUGUUUUUUUCUUUUCCUCCAGAUGAUUACAUAUAGCAAAGCUUGGAUAACUACAUGAGCAUUCACUGCAUUCUUACUUGCCAAUGUCCUUAAUAAUGAUGAAAUGAUAACUAAACAACAACCAAUAUUUUGGAUUUGGGGAGCUGCAGAUACCUGGAGAAAGCACUUUGCGUUAACAGUUGAUGCACUGUUGGUAUAUUGACAAAAAUGG